GAGGGUACAGCUCAGUGGUAGAGUGCAUGCCUAGCUUGCACAAGGUCUUGGGUUCAAUCCCCAGUACCUCCA
rfam:Camelus ferus unplaced genomic scaffold scaffold1749, whole genome shotgun sequence.